ACGAACGCUGGCGGCAGGCUUAACACAUGCAAGUCGAACGCCCGUAGCGAUACGGGAGUGGCAGACGGGUGAGUAACACGUGGGAACAUGCCCUUCGGUUCGGAACAACGUUUGGAAACGGACGCUAAUACCGGAUACGCCCUUAUGGGGAAAGGCUCGCUGCCGAAGGACUGGCCCGCGUUCGAUUAGCUUGAUGGCGGGGUAACGGCCCACCAUGGCGACGAUCGAUAGCUGGUCUGAGAGGAUGGCCAGCCACAUUGGGACUGAGACACGGCCCAAACUCCUACGGGAGGCAGCAGUGGGGAAUAUUGGACAAUGGGCGCAAGCCUGAUCCAGCCAUGCCGCGUGAGUGAUGACGGCCUUAGGGUUGUAAAGCUCUUUCGCACGCGACGAUAAUGACGGUAGCGUGAGAAGAAGCCCCGGCUAACUUCGUGCCAGCAGCCGCGGUAAUACGAAGGGGGCUAGCGUUGUUCGGAAUCACUGGGCGUAAAGGGUGCGCAGGCGGAUCCUUCAGUCAGGGGUGAAAUCCCGAGGCUCAACCUCGGAACUGCCCUUGAUACUGGGGAUCUUGAGUCCGGAAGAGGUGGGUGGAACUGCGAGUGUAGAGGUGAAAUUCGUAGAUAUUCGCAAGAACACCGGUGGCGAAGGCGGCCCACUGGUCCGGAACUGACGCUGA
rnacentral:rRNA from 1 species